AUUGAACGCUGGCGGCAUGCCUUACACAUGCAAGUCGAACGGCAGCACGGGUGCUUGCCCCUGGUGGCGAGUGGCGAACGGGUGAGUAAUACAUCGGAACAUGUCCUGUAGUGGGGGAUAGCCCGGCGAAAGCCGGAUUAAUACCGCAUACGAUCUACGUAUGAAAGCGGGGGACCUACGGGCCUCGCGCUAUAUGGUUGGCCGAUGGCUGAUUAGCUAGUUGGUGGGGUAAAGGCCUACCAAGGCGACGAUCAGUAGCUGGUCUGAGAGGACGACCAGCCACACUGGGACUGAGACACGGCCCAGACUCCUACGGGAGGCAGCAGUGGGGAAUUUUGGACAAUGGGCGAAAGCCUGAUCCAGCAAUGCCGCGUGUGUGAAGAAGGCCUUCGGGUUGUAAAGCACUUUUGUCCGGAAAGAAAUCCUUGGCUCUAAUACAGUCGGGGGAUGACGGUACCGGAAGAAUAAGCACCGGCUAACUACGUG
rnacentral:rRNA from 1 species